rnacentral:misc_RNA from 1 species
UCAUCCACGAAGAUUUUAUGAAGGUAACUUUAUAGUAACUAUGUUGCAAUGAUCUAAACAUGCCCAUGUGUGCAGUAUUCAUCUUGAGAAUUGAAUGCUCUCUUUCAUCAUCCGGGGCAGGGAAGAGUUAACUUCGCUGUUUGUAAAAUUUAUAAUUGCACAAUAUGCUUAGCUAUAUAUUUGUUUUGCAGGCUGUAAGGAAGCUUAACGAGG